GCGCUCGUGGUGGAACUGGCAGACACGCAGGAUUUAGGUUCCUGUGCCUUCGGGUGUGCGGGUUCAAGUCCCGCCGAGCGCA
rnacentral:tRNA from 1 species